rnacentral:tRNA from 1 species
UUUUAGGGAGACCAUCUGAAGCAAGACUGAACCUAAAACAGAAGUCUUGUAUCAGUUAUCCCUGGUCGUUCGAGAUAAUAAAGUCAAAGCUUUCAAACUAUUAACUGGUUCGGUAGAUGGGCUAUUAGCUCAGUUGGUUAGAGCGCACCCCUGAUAAGGGUGAGGUCCCUGGUUCAAAUCCAGGAUGGCCCACCUGUAAAAAGAGUAAUGAAGACUAAGAAAUGAGCAAUGAAUCAAAAAUUCAGAGUUCAGGAAACAGAAAUCAUGAACUUACUUAGUGGGGGUAUAGCUCAGCUGGUAGAGCGCCUGCCUUGCACGCAGGAAGUCAGCGGUUCGAGUCCGCUUACCUCCACUCUCACUAAGGUAGACCACUAAAAAAGCCAAAUAUCCAGGAAACAGAAAUCAGCACCUAGACCAGUGUAAAAACUUGUCAGAAUGCUGGAGUCUUGACUCCAGAAAGAACCUUGAAAACUGCAUAGAAAUUAAGUCAUCAUCAAGCUUUGUAAGUGAUCCGAGAAAUCAGAAAAUCUUACAAAGCAGACGACCAUCAAAAAACAAA